rnacentral:misc_RNA from 1 species
GAUGAAGAACGCAGUGAAAUGCGAUAAGUAAUGUGAAUUGCAGAAUUCAGUGAAUCAUCGAAUCUUUGAACGCACAUUGCGCCCGUCAGUAUUCUGGCGGGCAUGCCUGUUCGAGCGUCAUUACGCCCCUCAAGUCCCCUGUGGACUUGGUGUUGGGGAUCGGCGAGGCUGGUUUUCCAGCACAGCCGUCCCUCAAAUUAAUUGGCGGUCUCGCCGUGGCCCUCCUCUGCGCAGUAGUAAAACACUCGCAACAGGAGCCCGGCGCGGUCCACUGCCGUAAAACCCCCCAACUUUUUAUAGUUGACCUCGAAUCAGGUAGGACUACCCGCUGAACUUAAGCAUAUCAAUAAGCGGAGGA